rnacentral:rRNA from 1 species
GGAGUUAGCCGGUGCUUCUUCUGUGAGUGAUGUCCUUCCUGCCGGCUAUUAACCCGCAGGCCUUCUUCCUCACUGAAAGUGCUUUACAACCCGAAGGCCUUCUUCACACACGCGGCAUGGCUGGAUCAGGGUUGCCCCCAUUGUCCAAUAUUCCCCACUGCUGCCUCCCGUAGGAGUCUGGGCCGUGUCUCAGUCCCAGUGUGGCUGAUCAUCCUCUCAGACCAGCUACGGAUCGUCGCCUUGGUGAGCCGUUACCUCACCAACCAGCUAAUCCGACAUAGGCUCAUCCGAUAGCGCGAGGCCCGAAGGUCCCCCGCUUUCCCCCGUAGGGCGUAUGCGGUAUUAGCCUGGGUUUCCCCAGGUUAUCCCCCACUACCGGGCAGAUUCCUAUGCAUUACUCACCCGUCCGCCGCUCGCCACCAGGGAGCAAGCUCCCCGUGCUGCCGCUCGACUUGCAUGUGUUAGGCCUGCCGCCAGCGUUCAAUCUGAGCCANGAUCAACUACUCGA